AUUGAACGCUGGCGGCAGGCCUAACACAUGCAAGUCGAACGGUAGCACAGAGAGCUUGCUCUCGGGUGACGAGUGGCGGACGGGUGAGUAAUGUCUGGGAAACUGCCCGAUGGAGGGGGAUAACUACUGGAAACGGUAGCUAAUACCGCAUAAUGUCGCAAGACCAAAGAGGGGGACUUUCGGGCCUCUUGCCAUCGGAUGUGCCCAGAUGGGAUUAGCUAGUUGGUGAGGUAAUGGCUCACCAAGGCGACGAUCCCUAGCUGGUCUGAGAGGAUGACCAGCCACACUGGAACUGAGACACGGUCCAGACUCCUACGGGAGGCAGCAGUGGGGAAUAUUGCGCAAUGGGCGCAAGCCUGAUGCAGCCAUGCCGCGUGUAUGAAGAAGGCCUUCGGGUUGUAAAGUACUUUCAGCGGGGAGGAAGGCAAUGCGGUUAAUAACCGUGUUGAUUGACGUUACCCGCAGAAGAAGCACCGGCUAACUCCGUG
rnacentral:rRNA from 1 species